GAGUCACAUGUCUCUCGCUUUAAGUAAAAAUGAUUUGUAAAUGAUUCAGCUUAGUGAGGAAGUUACAUUGGAAGCCAAGAUGAGCCAAAACUAGGCUUCUUGUGCCAAAGUUUGCCAAGGUGUGAAUGCAAAUUUCAGUUGUGUGUGUAUAUAUAUAUAUGUAUAUAUAUGGCUAUGCUGGAUCUCCAUUGCUGCACAGCCUUUUUUUCAUUUUCUUUCUCUAGUUGUGGGAAGCAGAGGGCACUCAUCGUUGCAUUGCUCAGACUUCUCAUUUUGGUGGCUUCUCUUGUCGCACAGCACAGGCUCUAGAGCGCAGGCUCAGCGGUUGUGAUGCAUGGACUUAGUUGCCCCGUGGAUGUGAGAUCUUCCCAGAUCUGGGAUCCAACGCAUGUCACCUGCAUGGGCAGGUGGGUUCUUAUCCACUGAGCCACCAAGGAAGUCCAAAGCAAAAGUUCUCGAAGAAAAUGAGGACAACUGUUACACAUUCUUCCCUUUGAGGGCUGGAGAUGGAGGAGCAGCUUAAGUGGAAUAUUUUCAAAGCACCAAGAAUUACUGCAAAUCAUUGUGGAUUCAGGAUAUUGGAAAAUAUAAGAACAUUACCAUGGCUUCAUCAUAGGAGGGGGUAUAUUUCUAUAUCUAGAUAUCACUUACUUUACCUGAUCUGCUGUCAUUAAUUUGCCAGAUAUUUACUGAGAAGCAACUAUGCGCAGAGCACAAAUAAAACUUUGAGAAACUG